CAACACAUUUGCCAAAGGUCACCGUCAUUUCGCCGCCAUUUUUGUUCUGUUUUGAAACUGUUUACAUCGCAAUUUGUUUUACAAAAAAUGGCAAUAUUUAAAUCAUGACAUAACAAAUAUAAAAGGAAAUUUUAGCUGGUGUGAUAAGAUGAAAUGUCUCAUGGAUUGUUUGGUUUCUUUUCGUUGUUUUGCAUGCAGACAUCGACUGAUGGACAACAACAACAACCCACAAGGGAAAUUUGAAACCGAAGAGACAAGCUAAACAACGUACGAUUCAUUUUACAAUACUUUUAUACAAUACUUUUAUACAAUACUCGUACUAUAUUAUUUGUCAAUUUGCUAUAUUUGACAAAAUUUGCUAUAGUAUUUGUCAAUGUUGGAGCCGGCCAGGUUAUAGCCCAGCUCGAAAUAUUGUUCUCAACAAUCAGGAAUAUGAAUAUCUGGAUUGAGUUGACAAACUAUUGUUGCAAGGUAUAAAGAAAACGAGUAAAUAGUCUGCUUUUAGUGCUUUCUAUGAAGAAAAUGACAAACUGGCCCAGCUAAGGUGGCCAGGCCAGAUGAAUCAGUCUGGAUCUUGUAAACAGUUUGUAGGAAUUAUUACAUUUUUUGAUACUGCAUCAAGAAUUUAGUAACUAGUAACAACACAAUUACACAUGAAUCCUAAACCUACCUCCAAAUGCAGCCCAUUUUAAAGCCUGUUUAUACUGUGCUCAAUUUUGGUACCUGUAACAUGUUUACUAUGCAGCAUGGACUACCUGUAUUCAUAUAGGCCGAGCACAAAUAAAUUUGGUACAGGACCACAGAUACCAAUUUUAUCUGUGCUAUACCAAAAAUUGAGCAUAGUGUACAACAGUUUAGAUAAAGGGUCAGUGUGCAAUAGCCAGUUUUCUGUCAUGAAUGAGUCAGUACAGUAGAUGUAAAGCUAUCCAUAAGCCUGCAAUAUAAUGCAGGGGGAGAGCCUGCCUCCUCCACAGGCCCUCGUUGUCUCAUGGGAAGGUCACAAUUUCGAGAGGGCCUGCGGAAUCUUGUAAAAUGAAUAAAUGUUGUUUUGAACCUGCUUCGUUAAAGAAGGCAGUUUUAUUCGUGCAACAUUGGUGUGGACAACAAACCUUAUCGUUAAAAAAUUCUUCCUUCCACGUCCUAAGAGUCGCCAGUUUAAUUUAUAAGUUUCACACCACUUUUUUAUAUCUGUUUAUAUUCAAGAUUAUGUAGAAAUUUACUUGCUGACGUGACUCUGGCGUCACUUUUACAAGAUUCCGCAGGCCCUCGCCAGAUCGUGACCUUCCCAUGACGCAACGAGGGCCUGCGGAGGAGGCAGGGGGAGAGCUGUGGCUGGACCCAUUGACCUGGAAUUUUCCUAAUGUGCUCCGUCUUGUUAAUUUACUCUGUCUGAUACCAAACAAAUUUACAUAUCUUUCCAUGCUUCAUACUAACUCAUCAGUAAGCCCUAAUGUCUCCUGUAAUAUACACUUUACAAAAAUAGUGUUAAAUUGAAUGUAACCUAGUAGAUGGUUAAGCCAAUAUAUACAUGGUAACCCAUUAGAUAUGGUUACCCUAAGGGCAUUCCAUAUUUCGCAUAACACUUGAUUAUUCUUGCUGUCUUAAUGCCAAUUAAAUCUAAAACAUGUAUAUUAAAUAGAUCUGAUUUUAUCAAUUCCUAUUUUUCCAGCUUUUGCUCUGGAUGAUACAGUCUACAGAAAGACAGCUGCUAUGCAGUUUUCAAAAAUGGUACAGGACAAAUGCUGUGGGGGUCGAAGAGUAGUAACUAAAAGCAAACCAGCUGAGUGAGACUUGACAAUUAACAAUUAUUGACUUUUAGAUACUCAUUAUUUAUUUCUAGCCAUAAAUAAUAUAAUUAUAUAAUAUUAGGAAAUUUUAAAUAAGUAAUAGUACCGUAAGAAUAAGUAAGUAUAAGUUAUAGUACCUUAUGUGUAAUUACUCUGGGGCCGGUUGUUCAAAGCUGGACUAGUGACAACCCUGAGUUAAAAUUUUACUUGCUGUUUUAGUUUGUGUAUUUCUACAUGCAUGUUUAUUUCAAAAUGUCAGAGAAGAAAACUCCUAUCGGUCCAGGCAAGGUCUCUGAAUAAAUAUUUCCAAAUUUAUAGACAAGCUGUCAGGAAGUGUGCUUUGAAUUGACCUAUAGGGUCAGGGUGUGGGUAAAAUGCUGACUCCCACUGGCGGACUCGCGGACUCGAUUUUUUUCAAUUUUUUAUCAAUGCUUUUUGUUGGCUUCGUGAAAAUUUUAAAAUGAGCAUCAGGCGUGCUUUAUACAAAAUAUGUACUGUAAAUGAGCGACGCGCUUUAGAACUAUUGAACAUUUGGAAGAAUUUAUUUAAAAAUACUAUAAUCAACAUUCCAAUAACG
rnacentral:lncRNA from 1 species